GGGGGCGAUUCUGGAUUCGACAAGAUUCUCGAAACCCUGGGAGCAUGCCGAGGGGCGGUUGGCCUCGUAAAAAGCCGCACCGUUAUAGUUGCAAACGACUCUAACUACUCUCUAGCAGCUUAGGCUAGCUAGCCAUCUUGCUCACGUUUAUCAAAUGGGCAGAGUAAUAAGAUGGUCACCUUUACAUUUGAUAGCGAGGGAACCACGUUCAGGGGUGAACCGCGAAACAGUACUGAACUCGCCAAUUGCAAUCCUGUCUUUCGGAGUGUACUUGGUUAACCAAAAGAGAGACUAAGCAUGUAGCGCCUUGGAUGUAGGCUUUUUGGACGCGGGUUCGAGCCCCGCCGCCUCCACCA
rfam:Shewanella pealeana ATCC 700345, complete genome.